UAAAAUUUAGCUCAGUUGGUUAGAGCAUGCUGCUAAUAACACCAAGGUUGGGGAUUUGAUCCCCAUGUUGAC